rnacentral:rRNA from 1 species
CGGUAAUUCCAGCUCCAAUAGCGUAUACUAAAGUUGUUGCAGUUAAAAAGCUCGUAGUUGGAUUUCUGCGGGGACGGAGCGGCCGGUCGCAACUUGCGACUCGAGCUAGCGCUUUCCCCGCAUCCUGCCGCGAACCGUGCUACCAUUAGUUUGGUGGCGCUGGGGAUCGGCUCGAUUACUUUGAGAAAAAUAGAGUGUUCAAAGCAGGCCACACGCCUUGAAUAAGUUAGCAUGGAAUAAUGACUAAGGACUUUGGUUCUUUUCGUUGGUGUUCGGGACUGAAGUAAUGAUUGAUAGGGACAGUUGGGGCGGUCCGUAUUCCAAAGCGAGAGGUGAAAUUCUUAGACCUUCGGAAGACGAACAGCUGCGAAAGCGUUCCGCAAGGAUGUUCCCUUUGAUCAAGAACGAAAGUUGGGGGAUCGAAGACGAUCAGAUACCGUCGUAGUCUCAACUAUAAACUAUACCAGCUAGGGAUCGGCCAACGUUUAAUUAUUCGACUUGGUCGGCACCUUAUGAGAAAUCAAAGCAUCUGGGUUCCGGGGGGAGUAUGGUCGCAAGGCUGAAACUUAAAGGAAUUGACGGAAGGGCACCACCAGCCGUGGAGCCUGUGGCUUAAUUUGACUCAACACGGGAAAACUUACCAGGUCCGGACAUAGUAAGGAUUGACAGAUUGAUAGCUCUUUCUUGAUUCUGUGGGUGGUGGUGCAUGGCCGUUUUUAGUCGGUGGAUGUGAUCUGUCUGCUUAAUUGCGUUAACGGACGAGACCCCAGCCUGCUAAAUAGCGCGGCCGAGCUUUGCUCGGUGCGAGCUUCUUAGAGGGACCAUGAUGCGCGAUAGCACAAGGAAGUUUGGGGCAACAACAGGUCUGUGAUGCCCUUAGAUGUUCUGGGCCGCACACGGGCUACACUGGCGCCUGCAACGAGCAUAUCAGCUGGCCCGAGAGGGUCUUGGCUAAUCUUUGGAACCGGCGCCGUGCUUGGGAUUGACCAUUGCAAUUGUUGGCCAUGCAACGAGGAAUGCCUUGUAAACGCGAGUCAUCAGCUCGCAUUGAAUACGUCCCUGCCCUUUGUACACACCGCCCGUCGCUCCUACCGAUGAAUGUUCCGAUGAAAUUUUCGGAGAGCGCCGGAGAACGGGGCUCUGCCCUGCAGAACUGGAGGCUCAAAGUCACCUAAAUCUGAACAUUUCGAGGAAGGAGAAGUCGUAACAAGGUAACC